CCGAACCGACUAAUGUUGAAAAAUUAGCGGAUGACCUGUGGCUGGGGGUGAAAGGCCAAUCAAACCGGGAGAUAGCUGGUUCUCCCCGAAAGCUAUUUAGGUAGCGCCUCGUGAAUUCAUCUCCGGGGGUAGAGCACUGUUUCGGCUAGGGGGCCAUCCCGGCUUACCAACCCGAUGCAAACUGCGAAUACCGGAGAAUGUUAUCACGGGAGACACACGGCGGGUGCUAACGUCCGUCGUGAAGAGGGAAACAACCCAGACCGCCAGCUAAGGUCCCAAAGUCAUGGUUAAGUGGGAAACGAUGUGGGAAGGCCCAGACAGCCAGGAUGUUGGCUUAGAAGCAGCCAUCAUUUAAAGAAAGCGUAAUAGCUCACUGGUCGAGUCGGCCUGCGCGGAAGAUGUAACGGGGCUAAACCAUGCACCGAAGCUGCGGCAGCGACACUGUGUGUUGUUGGGUAGGGGAGCGUUCUGUAAGCCUGUGAAGGUGUGUCGUGAGGCAUGCUGGAGGU
rnacentral:rRNA from 2 species